GCGAAGGUGGCGGAAUGGGUAGACGCACUGGAUUUAGGUUCCAGCGCCGCGAGGCAUGGGGGUUCGAGUCCCUUCCUUCGCA
rnacentral:tRNA from 1 species